CCUACGGGAGGCAGCAGUGGGGAAUUUUGGACAAUGGGCGAAAGCCUGAUCCAGCAAUGCCGCGUGCAGGAUGAAGGCCUUCGGGUUGUAAACUGCUUUUGUACGGAACGAAAAAGCUCCUUCUAAUACAGGGGGCCCAUGACGGUACCGUAAGAAUAAGCACCGGCUAACUACGUGCCAGCAGCCGCGGUAAUACGUAGGGUGCAAGCGUUAAUCGGAAUUACUGGGCGUAAAGCGUGCGCAGGCGGUUAUGUAAGACAGAUGUGAAAUCCCCGGGCUCAACCUGGGAACUGCAUUUGUGACUGCAUGGCUAGAGUACGGUAGAGGGGGAUGGAAUUCCGCGUGUAGCAGUGAAAUGCGUAGAUAUGCGGAGGAACACCGAUGGCGAAGGCAAUCCCCUGGACCUGUACUGACGCUCAUGCACGAAAGCGUGGGGAGCAAACAGGAUUAGAUACCCUGGUAGUCCACGCCCUAAACGAUGUCAACUGGUUGUUGGGAAUUAGUUUUCUCAGUAACGAAGCUAACGCGUGAAGUUGACCGCCUGGGGAGUACGGCCGCAAGGUUGAAACUCAAAUGAAUUGACGGGG
rnacentral:rRNA from 1 species